UCUCCACGGUUGGGAGCAUGGUGUUC
rnacentral:piRNA from 1 species